UGGCUCAGGAUGAACGCUGGCGGCAGGCUUAACACAUGCAAGUCGAGGGGCAGCGCGGUAGUAGCAAUACUACUGGCGGCGACCGGCGAAAGGGUGCGUAACGCGUGAGCGACAUACCCGCGACCGGGGGAUAACAGAUGGAAACGUCUACUAAUACCCCAUAACAACAGGGCUCGCAUGGAUCUUGUUUGAAAGAUUAAUCGGUUGCGGAUUGGCUCGCGUCCCAUUAGCUAGUCGGCGGGGUAACGGCCCACCGAGGCGACGAUGGGUAGGGGUUCUGAGAGGAAGGUCCCCCACAAUGGAACUGAGACACGGUCCAUACUCCUACGGGAGGCAGCAGUGGGGAAU
rnacentral:rRNA from 1 species